AAUGUACUCCCUCCGUUCCGAAUUACUUGUCGCAGGUAUGGAUGUAUCUAGAUGUAUUUUAGUUCUAAAUAUCCAUUUUUGCGACAAGUAAUUUGGAACUGAGGGAGUAUGAU
rfam:Triticum urartu cultivar G1812 contig414444, whole genome shotgun sequence.